GAUGAACGCUGGCGGUGUGCUUAAUCCAUGCAAGUCGUGCGAACAGACGUGGCGCUUGCUCCGCUGACGUUCGCGGCGGACGGGCUCGUAACACGUGGCUCACCUACCUCUACGACUGGGCUAACUUCGGGACACCGGAGUUAAUACCGGCUAAUCUCUUGAAGCGCAUUGUCCAUUACUGAAAGACGGUUUUGCUGUUACUUGUAGAUGGCUCCGCGCCGCAUUAGCUAGUUGGUAAGGUAACGGCUUACCCAGGCAACGAUGCGUAGCCGACCUGAGAGGGUGAUCGGCCGCACUGGAACUUAGACACGGUCCAGACUCCUACGGGAGGCAGCAGUAGGGAAUCUUCCGCAAUGGGCGAAAGCCUGACGGAGCAACGCCGCGUGAGUGAUGAAGGUCUGCGGAUCGUAAAGCUCUGUUAUUAGGGAAGAACAAAUGUGUAAGUACCUAUGCACGUCUGGACGGUACCUAAUCAGAGAGCCACGGCUAACUACGUG
rnacentral:rRNA from 1 species